UUCUGGGUAGCUCAGUCGGUUAGAGUGUGGUGCUAAUAAUGCCAAGGUUGCAGGUUCAAUACCCAUAAGGGAAA